rnacentral:rRNA from 1 species
UUGAACGCUGGCGGCAGGCCUAACACAUGCAAGUCGAACGGUAACAGGAAGCAGCUUGCUGCUUCGCUGACGAGUGGCGGACGGGUGAGUAAUGUCUGGGAAACUGCCUGAUGGAGGGGGAUAACUACUGGAAACGGUAGCUAAUACCGCAUAACGUCGCAAGACCAAAGAGGGGGACCUUCGGGCCUCUUGCCAUCGGAUGUGCCCAGAUGGGAUUAGCUUGUUGGUGGGGUAACGGCUCACCAAGGCGACGAUCCCUAGCUGGUCUGAGAGGAUGACCAGCCACACUGGAACUGAGGCACGGUCCAGACUCCUACGGGAGGCAGCAGUGGGGAAUAUUGCACAAUGGGCGCAAGCCUGAUGCAGCCAUGCCGCGUGUAUGAAGAAGGCCUUCGGGUUGUAAAGUACUUUCAGCGGGGAGGAAGGGAGUAAAGUUAAUACCUUUGCUCAUUGACGUUACCCGCAGAAGAAGCACCGGCUAACUCCGUGCCAGCAGCCGCGGUAAUACGGAGGGUGCAAGCGUUAAUCGGAAUUACUGGGCGUAAAGCGCACGCAGGCGGUUUGUUAAGUCAGAUGUGAAAUCCCCGGGCUCAACCUGGGAACUGCAUCUGAUACUGGCAAGCUUGAGUCUCGUAGAGGGGGGUAGAAUUCCAGGUGUAGCGGUGAAAUGCGUAGAGAUCUGGAGGAAUACCGGUGGCGAAGGCGGCCCCCUGGACGAAGACUGACGCUCAGGUGCGAAAGCGUGGGGAGCAAACAGGAUUAGAUACCCUGGUAGUCCACGCCGUAAACGAUGUCGACUUGGAGGUUGUGCCCUUGAGGCGUGGCUUCCGGAGCUAACGCGUUAAGUCGACCGCCUGGGGAGUACGGCCGCAAGGUUAAAACUCAAAUGAAUUGACGGGGGCCCGCACAAGCGGUGGAGCAUGUGGUUUAAUUCGAUGCAACGCGAAGAACCUUACCUGGUCUUGACAUCCACAGAACUUUCCAGAGAUGGAUUGGUGCCUUCGGGAACUGUGAGACAGGUGCUGCAUGGCUGUCGUCAGCUCGUGUUGUGAAAUGUUGGGUUAAGUCCCGCAACGAGCGCAACCCUUAUCCUUUGUUGCCAGCGGUCCGGCCGGGAACUCAAAGGAGACUGCCAGUGAUAAACUGGAGGAAGGUGGGGAUGACGUCAAGUCAUCAUGGCCCUUACGACCAGGGCUACACACGUGCUACAAUGGCGCAUACAAAGAGAAGCGACCUCGCGAGAGCAAGCGGACCUCAUAAAGUGCGUCGUAGUCCGGAUUGGAGUCUGCAACUCGACUCCAUGAAGUCGGAAUCGCUAGUAAUCGUGGAUCAGAAUGCCACGGUGAAUACGUUCCCGGGCCUUGUACACACCGCCCGUCACACCAUGGGAGUGGGUUGCAAAAGAAGUAGGUAGCUUAACUUUCGGGAGGGCGCUUACCACUUUGUGAUUCAUGACUGGGGUG